CCACAUGUAGUCGAUGUGAUUGAAUUUGAGGGAUGGCAGUCUAUAAUCAUCCACUAUAUUGGUCAGCAAAUCACGAAGAAUCUUCACAUCCUUGAAAAAUAGCACAAAAAUGCCAAUCAAAAAGAUAAAGGAAGUUAUUUAUAAAAUUAUAAUGAAGAAGAAAAAGAGAGUUAAAUUUCAGCAAUGAUAACAUAAAGAGCCCGACAGAAAGAAAGCAAGAAUGGCUUUUUAUCUCAGAUUGUAGCAAGCAAGUCAUUAUAAGCAUAAAUCAGCGCGAUCGGCACUGUGAUACGCGAUAAAUCGUAAUCGGGCGGUAUCGUCGCAUU